rnacentral:rRNA from 1 species
CAGCCGCCGCGGUAAUACGUAGGUGGCAAGCGUUGUCCGGAAUUAUUGGGCGUAAAGGGCUCGCAGACGGUUUCUUAAGUCUGAUGUGUAAGCCCCCGGCUCAACCGGGGAGGGUCAUUGGAAACUGGGAAACUUGAGUGCAGAAGAGGAGAGUGGAAUUCCACGUGUAGCGGUGAAAUGCGUAGAGAUGUGGAGGAACACCAGUGGCGAAGGCGACUCUCUGGUCUGUAACUGACGCUGAGGAGCGAAAGCGUGGGGAGCGAACAGGAUUAGAUACCCGCGUAGUCCCUGUCUCUUAUAC